GUGAUCCUUCCCUUUUGGUUUUCCACAAGAUUUCAACUUCUGCUUCAUCUCCUUGAGGUCCACGUGCCUUUCCUUCGCCAAAUCCUCAAGCCAGAUACUCAGUUGGGAGAAGGGCAGAUGUUUGACACCCAUUGCGUCAGAAACGGGGUCCAAAUGACAAUAAGCUGGAGGGAAAAUUUUGGGGUCACAGUGGAUUGAAUGAAGAACAAGGGGCGAUUUGAGGUAAAGUGCAGUGGAUGGUGUUGAAAUACCGUUAAGAAAUUACCUCGACCAGAGUUUUUGUAGCCGCCGUCAGAGCCCGUGUUUAC